AAAAAAAUCAAUAAUAAUUCUCUUAGCUGUUGUGGCCAGGAAAAGAAAAGCUCUUAGUUGGCAAAAAAGACAGAUGCAUAUAAUUAAUUUUUAAUGAAAUGCUACCGACGUAUGCCCUCCUGAAUUAUUAUUAUGCUAUAAAUAGUUUUUUUUCUAUGAUUUUUUAUUUAUUUUUUAGGAGUAAUUAUUAAAUCAUUAUUCCUUCUCUAAAAAUACGGAAUUGGUCAUAAAUGAAUAAAUAAUUAUUCGUUCUAAUUUCUAAAACAACUGAAUUGAAGUGGUCAUAAAUUGUACCAUAAUUUUAUUAUAUUUAUUUUUUAUUAAUUUUUUUGGUAUUUAUUUUUUUAUAUAGCAAUUUCAACGGUAAUAUUAAAAAGAGAAGCACCAAAUUUCUCAGUGGGAAUCAAAGUUAUGUUCUCCUUCUGCCCUUCUACUAAAGGCACCCUAAAAGGAAAGACUCCACAAUGGAAUCCCAUUCAGAAAUCUCCUUUUAAAAAAGACUCCUUUACUUUGGUUGUAACUUUUUUUUUAAAAAUAUUUCCGCUCUU
rnacentral:lncRNA from 1 species